UCUUUCCUGCGGGCGCAUCUGGGACUUCAAAGCAGCGCAGGGCUCAAAGGCGGCCUCGUGGGGGCGGGGCGGCGCGCGGUCCCCGGUCCCCGCCGCCGGCCACCUCGCCCCUCCGCACACAAUGAAUCUUUGAGAGCCUACUGUGUGCGGGAAGCUGUGCUCCGCAGCAGCUGCGCCUGCCAUCUUCAGAAGCAGGGGUGCUAUGGUCCCCAUUUUACAGGUGAGAAAACCGAGGCUGGGAAAGGACAUCUGGUUCCCAGCGCCUCUGCGGUCUGGCCUUUAGCUCCCCCCUUCUGGCAGUUUCUCUUGGUGCCUUGCCCGCCCCCCCCCCCCCAUCCCUGGGCACAAAGAUGAGUGUAUGGUAAGCAGUUCAUUAUGGGCAGUGGCUGGAAGGUCUUGAGCCCUACCCAGGGCCACUUGUGUGCCAGGGCUCCAUGUGCUCACAGGCCCUUGUGAGGUGGUGCACCCAGAGCUGUCCUCACUACACAGAAGUCAAGACACUUGCCCAAGGCCACACAGCUAAUCAAUGCCAGAGUUAGAAUUUGAACCCAAAGCCAGUUAGCUCCAGAAUCCUCCCUGUUUCCUUCUGAUUCUGCCCCACUCCUCCAAGGAUCCCUCUCAGGGGACCCCAGAUCCGGAGCUCUUUGCAUGGGCAGGACACCCUGGAUACAUUGCGUCUUGCUACUCAGACACAAGCAGCACCCAGCAUCUGUUAGAAAUGCAGACCCUCAGGCCCCUCCCCAGAACUGCAGAAUGAGAAUCUGCCUUUUAAAAGAGCCCGGGUGAGCGGAUACAUGUUGAGGUUUAAAGAGCUCUGGACAGUAGGGACAUUUUAGCCAAAAGCCUGCUCUUGGUGCAGCUUGGGAACCUGUCUUUUUAGAGCAGAACCUCCUUCAUCAGACCGGGAGCACCUCCAGCAAGAGCCGAGCCUUCUCUAUUGGGUCAGAGGCACUUUCAGGGCUGUUGGAAGAACAGCCUAGGACCUUUCCAAGGACGGGGGUUGGGCCUCACCCGCUUGGUGUGGAAUCCAAACAGAUAUGGUUCUUGGGCCCAGGUUCCCUGAAGCCCCUGGUUCCUCCCCAGGUGACGGGAACCUCUGUGGCCAAUAGUGGGUCUGCUCCCUCCGACUUGGGCGCCCUGUGGAGCUUGGCUUGCUUCAGGUGUUAGCCACCUGCAAGAAGAGGUGGUCAGUGUCCUCGCUUCUCAUGGACGCUCAGGUGGAGUGUCCUCAGCACUUACCCCAAGACACUUGUGACCCUUUCUGGCCCUGGGCUGACUGUGAAGGGGUCCUAGGGGCUUGGGGUGGGAGAGGGCGGGUGCCAAAGCUGGGCCAUGUGUGCUGCCUGACACCAGUCCUCUCUGGGCAAGCAUUUGUCCUGUGUGUCACCAAGGGACUGUUUGGGCGGUAGAAAGCCCUCGUUGGGCGAAGCAGGAGGCUGCUGGCAGCAGGAGGGUAUUUUUAGAGCUUUGACUGACAGCCCUUUAUUAAGCUGUUGCUGCCUCCGCCCGGCCCGAGCCCCCUCUAGCCCAGACAAAAAAGAAAGCACAUUGUCAUUUUGUUAAGAACAGGGUUCUGGCAGCCCUUCCUUGGUCCCUGGCCAACUGGACAGGUUAUUUCUCACUGUGGCUGUGGUCCAGGUGUCCCCCGCUGGCACUCCCAGCGUGCCCCGCAGCCUGACCCUUCACACAUCUGGCAGUGAUAAAUGGCUUCAGCGUCGCUGCCGUCACCUUGCACACUCUGAUCCUGCUCACUUUGUUCUCCCUUUAAAGCCAGUGGGCGGGUGGGGGAAGGGGCUCUCUCUCUUCUUCCCCUUCUCCAUCAGCCGUCUCCUGGAUACUUGCUGGCCUGUGCUGUGAUACAACUUGAAAGGGACCGAGACACUCAGUUAUCUGGUCUGGGAAGUCCGGCCUGAGAGUUGUCUGCACUGACUGGUGGAGUAGCGGGGGCGGGGCGGGAGUGCAUGCCCGUGGGUAGAUGGAUACGUGUGUGCGCUAGUACCAUUUGCACGUGUAUGUGCAUGCAUGGAUUUGGGGAUGGGUCAGGAGGUGUAUCCUUUAGCUAAUGCAGCUGUAUCAUUUAUUUUGAUCCCUAUGAGGGCAGGACCACCCCAUUCCCACCCCUUACACAAAUAGCCUCUGUUCUUGUUCACCAUUUUCUUGAGGAACUAGUAGGUAUAUUCUUAGGAAUGUGCUCAACAAGAUGUGGGCAUCAAUGUAGAUCAAAUGUCUCAUACUGGAGUACUGUUGUAAUAGCCCCAAACUGGAAACUACCCCAGUGCUUCUGCACAGAAUGGGUAAAUGCGGGGUGAGAUGGGUGCACAAAAAGACAGCUGUUGUACAGAAAUGAGAAUAAACGACAGACGACUCAGGUAGCCGUGUGUUGGUUUGCACAAUCGUGUGGAGUGAAAGAAGCCAGUUGCAAUAGAGUACGUAAGGUGUGAUUCCAUGUAGAGAAAGUUCCAAAUGGGCAAAGCUGGUUCAUCAAAGCCUGGACAGUGGCUACCCUUAAAGGGAGAGUGACUGCAGGGAACAGAGGGAGGGCUUCUGGGGAGGUAUUCUCUUUCUUUGAUACGGUGCCUGUUUAUUUGAGUCUGUUCCCUUUGUAAAAAUUCAUUGAGCUGCGCAUUUAUAAUUCACGCACCUUCUCUGUGUGCUUCAAAGUUCAAAAUCCUGUAUUUUGUUUUUCUUGUGCUGUAGUCCUUCCUAGGCUUUUAAGGGUCAGUUGGCUGAGUUCAAUGGAAAAUUCCAUCGGGGUCUUGGUGAGAACUACCUUAUUGUUCUAGAUCUAUUUGGGGAGAUUGGGCUGCUUUGGGAUAUUCAUGCUUUUCCUCCAUGGACAUGGUAUACCUCCACUUAGGUCCGUUUACAUCUCAGUACUAAGUUUCGUGGGUUUCUCCAGAAUCCUGUGAUUUUUAUGGCUGGGUUUAUUCCAGGGUAGCUUGAGGGUUUUCGUUAUUGUUGUUGUAGUUAUGAAAGGGAUUUUUUUUUUCUCUUUUCAAAUUUGCUUUAUUGUGGUGAAAUAUACAUCACAUACAAUUUGCUUUUUUACCUGUGUUCAGGUCUGCAGUUGGGAGGCGUUGAGAACAUUCACAUUGCUGUGCAGCUACCACCACAUCCGUCUUCAUAACCUCUUCCUCCUCCCCGACUGAAACUCUGUGGCCACUCAUACUCCUGACUCCCACCUCCCCUCAGCCCCAGGAAACCAUCCUUCUACUCUCUGAUUCUGUGAAUUUUCUAGCUUUUUGUAUGUCCCAUAAAUGGAAUCAUACAGGACUUGCCCUUUGGUGACGGGCUGAUGUCUCUUAGCACAAUGUCUCCAAGGCUCCUCUGGAUCAGAGCCUGUGUGAGUUUCAUUCCUUUCUAAGACCCAGUAUCUCUAUUCCAUGUAUCCACCACAUUUUGCUCAUGCGUUUAUUCCUUAAUAGACAUUCAGGUUGUUCCACCUUUUGGCUCUUGUGACUAAUACUGCGGUGCACAUGGCUGUUCAGGUAACUGUCAUUGACCUUGUUUUUAAUUCUUUGGGGUAUAUAUGCCCAGCAGGGAAUUGCCGGGUCACAUGGUGAUUUUCAGUUUGACUUUUGAGUGACUGCCACCCUGGGUUCUGAGCAGCUGUUGCCCUUUAACUUCUGUCUUGCUGGGGUGUGGAAAGCUAUUGAGUGUUGGAAGCUCGGCCUGCAGGUGUGUGACAUUCCUGAGUGUGCACACAGGGGGGAGGGGCGGAGCAGGAAGCCGCGGUGCUAGAAAGCAUGACCUUCAGGUGUUUCCGACUGACAUGUCACAGAAGCACCCCCUCAAGCUGGCCUAAACCUUGGAGACCUCUGUGACCUCAUCCACCCGAGGCCGAAGGUAGGGAGGGCUCUGGGCAGGGUGACCAGCAGCUCCAUGAUGUCCUUCUUUCUUUCUACUUUCCACCUUCAGAGCCAGAUGGCUGUAAGAUGUCGCCUGACAGGAGGGGCCACAGGCCUGCCUGACGUGUCCAGCAGGACGGAGCUCACUCCUGCCCGAGCUGGGACGGCAGCUCCCUGCCCUCGCAUGCACCUGACUUCAGGAGCCCUGGGGCAGGCCUCCGUGGGCAUUGGCAAGGUGCAGGCCCUAGAAGGAACCGAGCAGGAGCGGGGAGGCAUCUGAGGCCACUGUCCCCUGCAGCUGUGUGUGAACCAGCAGCUGCACUUCAUCAAGUCUCAGAGUCUACCACCUGCUUGUUUGUCCAGCCUCUUUCACAUGCACAAGGCAGCAGUCAGCUCCCGGGUCACUUCCAGAAUGGUGACCACAUCUGGCCAUGGUGGGGGUGGGGACUGCCUUUUUCUGUACAUCUCAUUUUUUUUUUUUUUCAUUUUGGUACCGGGGAUUAAACUGAGCCACCUCCUCA
rnacentral:lncRNA from 1 species